CUUCUGUGAUGCCUCUUAGAUGUUCUGGGCCGCACGCGCGCUACACUGACGGAGCCAGCGAGUUCUCCCUUGACCGGAAGGUCCGGGUAAUCUUGUUAAACUCCGUCGUGCUGGGGAUAGAGCAUUGCAAUUAUUGCUCUUCAACGAGGAAUCCCUAGUAAGCGCAAGUCAUCAGCUUGCGUUGAUUACGUCCCUGCCCUUUGUACACACCGCA
rnacentral:rRNA from 1 species